AUUGAACGCUGGCGGCAUGCCUUACACAUGCAAGUCGAACGGUAACAGUUCUUCGGACGCUGACGAGUGGCGAACGGGUGAGUAAUACAUCGGAACGUGCCUAGUAGUUGGGGAUAACUACUCGAAAGAGUGGCUAAUACCGCAUGAGAUCUACGGAUGAAAGCAGGGGAUCGCAAGACCUUGUGCUACUAGAGCGGCCGAUGGCAGAUUAGGUAGUUGGUGGGAUAAAAGCUUACCAAGCCGACGAUCUGUAGCUGGUCUGAGAGGACGAUCAGCCACACUGGGACUGAGACACGGCCCAGACUCCUACGGGAGGCAGCAGUGGGGAAUUUUGGACAAUGAGCGAAAGCCUGAUCCAGCAAUGCCGCGUGCAGGAUGAAAGCCUUCGGGUUGUAAACUGCUUUUGUACGGAACGAAAAGCCCUGGGUUAAUACCCUGGGGUCAUGACGGUACCGUAAGAAUAAGCACCGGCUAACUACGUGCCAGCCGCCGCUGUAA
rnacentral:rRNA from 1 species